CCCACGCUGAGGCAGCUACGCUACCAUUAGUCGCGUUUUGGCGAAGUUGCGAGAAGGAACUGCUGCCGGUCGUUUUUUUAUUAGCUUUUGGUGACAUUUUGUGUGAGUCGAAAAAGAAAUUUGUGUGUGUGUGUGUGUUUAUGGAAGGCGUUCCAGCUGAAAUAUUUUGGGAAUUAUGGUGAAUAUUUUGCGUGUGUGUUGAUGGAAAGCGAUUCCGGCGGAUUGGGUGGCGAAACUGUGUGUGUGUUUGUUUAUGGAAAGGGAAAAAUCUAUUAGCCCCCACUAGGGGGACUCUUUCUUGCGCCUACCAGCAGCCGCCAGCCGGCCGUGUUGUUGACAAGUGAUAGUUCGUCGUCAUGUCUUUUCAUUGGAAUUUUCAUGUCUUCUCAGCACACUUGUAAGUUUUGGCAUGUUAAAGUAUUUUGUGUAAUUGUUACAUCAUGAUGAAAACAUGUGCUACAUGUGUGUUGAUGGAAAGCGAUCUGUAGAUUUGCAUUUAGACUGACUGAGAGCUAUCAGUUUUUCCUUUCGAGAAAAAUAAAAGGCCAACACCAUGGUUAAAAAAGGGUUUUUGUUAACCAUGCUCAAAGUUGCCACUACUCGUGUAUCAUCCAAGCUAUCAUGUGUGUUGAUGGAAAGCGAUCUAUUUGCAUUUAGACUGACUGAGAGCUAUCAGUUUGUCCUUUCGAGAAAAAUAAAAGGCCAACACCAUGGUUAAAAAAGGGUUUUUGUUAACCAUGCUCAAAGUUGCCACUACUCGUGUAUCAUCCAAGCUAUCAUGUGUGUUGAUGGAAAGCGAUCUAUUUGCAAUUAGGCUGACUGAAAGCUAUCAGAUUGUCCUUUCGAGAAAAAUAAAAGGCCAACACCAUGGUCAAAAAAGGGUUUUUGUUGACCCCUUGGUUGCUACACAUUCAAUCCUCAUAUCCUUGGAAUGGACCCACUCUUAUUUAGAGGUUAAUCCCUCGCCCCUACUCAAUAGACGGAAUUAAUUGGCCGUGCAUCACCAACUUAUAUCGGAUGGGCGCUCCGUAUUGAAAACUAUUGCUAAAUUUCAUAAAGCUUUACAUAAUUUUGCUUGGACAAUCAUGUGUAAGUGGUGUAUAAAAUGAAAUGCGUGUUGAAUACAAAUUUUAAAUCGCG